UCUGUCAGAUCCCAGUCCGUCCAGCACGCCGUUGCUAGAACGAAUCAGAGACGACGAGCUCACGAGCAUCUUGUCGCCGCCCGAUGCCGUCGCUCCCUCUCCGUCGCCGGUGACACCACUCUCCGGCCGCCGCCAGCACGCGACCUCCGGCCGCCGAUCUUCCUCCCCGCCCGAACCUUCCAGGUCCCCACCGCCCAGCGGCUCCGCUUCCCUUCCCCGCCCCCCCAAACCCUAGUGGCAGAGAAGAAGGCCGGCGGCGCCCCACGCCUCCCCUUCCCUUCCGGCGUUCACCGUGCACGUCUUCGGCGGUCCGGACGUCCGGCGGCGUGAAUAAGACCGGCAGCGCCCCACCCCCACCGCCCCACGAAUUAGUGCAAACGACCUGCCCCCCUGCCGCCAGCUUGCCUGUGCACCAUCUCCUAUUUCCUGCUUUAGAAAAUGAGCCGGCCGCUUGUACAUGCGGUUGAGGUGGAGGGGCCAGCGGGGCUUCCGGAGGGGCCGCACGCAGGGGUCAGGAUGGACGACGUGCCAGGGAAGCCUGGGACGCGUCUUGGCCUCUUCUUUCGGUCUCUACAGUUCAUCUGCGCUUCCAUUACACUCACUGUCACGGUUACCACUGACUUCACAGCUAUUCCGGCCCUCUGCUUUGUUGUUGCAGCUGCCAGUUUGCUUUGUUUGUGGAGCCUGUCAAUGGCCAUUCUGGAUACAUACGCGUUGUGUAUCGGGCGUCGCUUGCGACGUCGUCGACUUGGUUGGUUCUUCAUCAUUGGAGAUGGGAUUAUAGGACUAGUUGUUUUCACCGCAGCAAGCAUGGCAGGUGGCACCUCGUACUUUGUUAGUACUGAUAUGAAGUGGUGUGCGCCAAGCAUCUGUCGCAGUUAUCAGGCUUUGUCAGUGUUUGCUUUUUUCAGCUUUUUUGCAGUUUUAUUAUCUUUUUUCUUAAACGUUAGCUCGUGGGCUUCCAAUGUCUAAUUGGAAAAUAAGCUGAUUUUGUAGAUAUCUUGGUGAUGAAAGCCGAGUUAUAUAUGUAUGCAUGGGUGACUCAGUCAUGUGAUGAAACUUAACCUACACAUAAUUUCUUCCAUGCUGUGAGGUGUCUUGUCUUAAUUGGUAUCGAAAGGAAUAGAUCGACCUAUACAAAUUCUAUACAUUGCCUUGCUGGUUUUAUGAAGACGAGUUUUCUGGAACUUGUAUCUGCUCAUCUAACUUUUAUUAUAGAACUAAAUUGUUUCGGCAAAGGUUUGUUUCCCUCUCUAAGAUGUCAAAUAAUUCUCUAUGAUCAUAUUGUACGGCCCUUAGAGUUGCAGGCUAUGCAUAUAAGGAUAUUUAUCUCUAUAGGUUUAUCUAGCCUGUCAUAGUUACAAAUGGUAGUUAAGCAUCCCAGAUCAAGUAACCAAGGAAUGCUAGGAUUAGCUAUGCAUACAUGGGUGGCCGCAUCCUUUGGUUGACUUAAGCACUGAAUAAGCAAAUAUACUUCAUCUGUGAUCUUGAUGUGCGGUUGUUGUCAAGGCACGAUCGUGCCUCUUAGACUAGGUUCACCUUGAGUCUGGAUCAACUAAGGAUUUAAAACUCUCAAAAACAUCAAGGAGUAUAGGCAAAGAUGUAGAGAACAUUGGAUUGUUAAAGGAGACAUAAAUAUCGCCUUCUUCCAUAGUGCAGUAGUUAAAUGAAAAAAGAAGGAUAGAGUCACCUGUGCACUGAUCAGCUUGAAAUACACAUACACAUAUAGAAGAUAUAGCCAUCUGUUAUUCUGUUGUGCUAGUCAUUUCAAUAUGCGAUUUUCUGAAGAUAAAAGGAUAACUGAUAGUAUCAUCAUUUUUUGUCAUAAGUUAUUUACUCAUUUGAUCAUAAAAUAUGUGAAAUCCUAAAACUUUCAUCCUCAAGAUAGAUCCAGCCAAAGCUUUUGAUUUGAUAGUAGAAUGAAGUUUCAUAGCUCAGCGAUGCUACAUCAAGAACUCCAUUUGUAAUUUUGUCUCACCUCCUAGGAGGCAUGUACCAAAUUCUACCUUUUCAAUGAAAUGUAAAGAUCUCUUUGCAUUUUCUCGAAAAGGAAAAAAAACCCUACCUCAGCAGCAACUCAUCACUCAAGGUGCAGCUACUUCCAUACAUUCUGUUUCUGUGCUAGGCGAUCUGAUUAUAUUUGCAUCUGUCCAGAAAGCUUAGGUAACUAAAGUAUUUUAAUGCAGUUUCUAUAGAAUGUCCAAAUUGGUCAAUACUACUGACAAUGGAACUUUUCUUGUACUCUUCAUCUCUUCUCAAUUCAUAUAAAAAAUCUACAGAUUCCUGGAUGAUGAUAAGUUUAAGUCAACAUUAGUAACUGGAAGACUGACAAACUUUCUUAUGUUGGCAGACUGACCUAGAUUGUUUUUUUCUGGUCCAUAUAUAUCUAAUUCUAAUGUUCCUUUCCCUAAAUACUUGACAUAGAAGUUUCGCAGCUAUUGCCAGACAUUUUUGGUGGCAUGGUGUUCAACUGGACUGCAGCAAGAGGCCUAUGCAUCUAAGAGCUUGGGCGCAACAAAUGCAUUCUUAGGAGUCAUGGAGGACUAGGCAUGAGCCUGUGAGGGAUCUGUUGUUAAUUCUGCCCCCUUAUCUGCCUAGCUUGGAGGCAUGUAGUGUAUCCAGCUCCCUUUGGGCCUCGAUCAUCAAGACAAAAAGGGUUAAUGUAGCUCUCUCAUUGUCUACCGUGUUUGAACUGUAGAUGUGACCAGCUCCUUUGGUCCUGUCCUAGAUCAUCAAGGCGAAGUACUUCCCCUCAUCCACGUACUGGAGAACAUCAGGUAAUUUCCAUAAAACAUAGAUAUGUUGCUAUUAAAUGAAAGAAUUCAUUCGGCUAAACCCUCAAAGUCCUUCAGUUCCCUAAAAGAAAGGUUUUGACCAUGAAUACUAUCUCCAAAACAAUGUGAAAGACUCAAAGGUAGUCACGUUUCACCCUCCUCUUGUUUACCCAACACCAAACUAACGACUACAUAUGUCCAGUACUGACGCUAGUGCUCAUGUGUAUGAAUAAGUACUUACUAUACUAACCGGGAACCAACAUCUAUUUUGUCUUAAUUUUGAGGCUUGGUCGGAAUUAACGUGGAGCUUACACGUCUACACUUUAGAUCUUUAAAUUUCUGCUGCAUAUUUUGUGUGUGCACUUACGGACUUACGGUGCUCUCUAGAAAUUUUCAGGGGUACUUUGGGUCUAUGGGGUGCCGUUUCAUGUGCGUUUGAUCCUUUCCUUUGUGUGUAUGUAGCAGCUUUAGGGUCUGGCACCGCUUUGACUGGGUGUAGAAAAUUCUGUUGCUCUCUCCCAUCCUCCAUUGACUGGGUGUAGAAAGUUCCGCCGCAUCGUCCGAGCUCAGCCACGCUCGCGGCGACAAUCACGCGAUGGAGAUUUUUUUUCGAAUGGUCUGGUCUUGCUGUACAAAAUUUGCGUGGUCUGGUCUUCAAGUAGAGGUCUCCUGGAGUGGCAAUACAUGAAAUUUUGUAGGUUCGUGGCCUCUCAUGGUUUCGUUUCUCUUCACCAUGCUGCCAUAUUCUUCCGCACUUGGUUGAUUCCACCUCUUGUGUCUAACUCGAGGCGACCGGCUUUGUCCUAUCACACGGUGCUCCGCCGGCGUGUAGAGCUGGCCGGCCCGGCCGGGCUCUGCAUUUGUGCCUCAUCGGGUGGAUUUCACCUCUCGCACAGCUGUUAGAUUAAUUGGUCUGGUUCAGUGGUUACCUCUGCCCUGCGGCCGUUACCGCACUUCACCUGGACGGUCCUGUUCGUCGUUCUUGCCGCCUUGACAGUCAUUUGCUUUGCAUCGGGUUGCUUCCUUGCCCGUUCUUUCCUUUGCAUCAGGUUGCUUCCUUGCCCGUCGUUUGCUUUACAUCAGGUUGAACCGUUGAGGUGUUUUUUUGGCAGCCCACUCUGUUUUGCUUCUGCUCUGCGUCCAGGCAGCCGUCAACAUCAUUGUUUGUUAAUGCUCCGCAUCAGCCAGCAGUUUUCCCCACCAAGGGAGGUGUGGAAAUGAUAUUGUUCCCACAUGAAGGAAUCCUUUUGUGAACUUGAGGUUAAAGGUGGAAACAUGGGGAUUUCAUCGAUCAAGGAUGUGUCGGGCCCAAGCUACCACUGGAAAGCCUUUUUGCUCAUUGCAUGCAUCUAGGAAUAAAAGGAUCAAGAAACACAUCAAAAUUUAUAUGAGUUGGACUUCACUUUGUUGGCCGUGAGGUUCAGUCGUCCCAGUGGCAGUUGUGGUCGGCGGUGGCGUCUUCUUGGCCUCGGUGAACGGGCAUGGUUUUGUCCUCCUAGAUGUCUGUCGUAAGUCGAGUUCUCUGUCCUGGCGACGAGGAGGGUCGCCCGCGCUGCGGAUGGCCAGGAUCAGCGCGUUGCUAGAUAGUAGUAUUAUGUUAUGCAUAGCCAGAGGACCACGAAAGAUACAUAAGAUUGCACACUAGAAGGUAUAAUCAUCCCUUCUAUAUUUCUUACCUGCCACUGCCAGCAACAUACUAUGCUGAUGUAUAAUCAAAUUUGCAGAGAACUAUUAUGGUAAAUGGUAACCCGUCGUGUUAACCGUGUCGUUGGAGCCGUCGGGCAGCUCCACAGGGUGCAUGCUGCAUAACCACUCCUCAGCUCUUCAUUCUCUUGUGUGGUCAGGAACCUAUGACACCGUUCCUAGAAAUCAGCAGCAAGUCGUCGUUGUCGAACAUGAAGGACCUGAACCCGUCCAUCGUCGAUUCACCGAUCAGCCGUAGUCCCGUCCAGGUUGCUCCGGGAUGAGUUGCUCCACCUGAAGGCCGAGUAUUGCUUCCCGUAGCCGACGGUGUGCUGAUGUUGCUGUUACGUGCCAGCGUCAGGCCCAUUGCAGUGCCACCGAGGGCCUGCCCCUCUAGCUUUUUUUUUUUUUGAAAAAAAAAACCCCUCUAGCUUGGCGGCAGGUUGUCCUGAAUUCCGGAUUUUUUUCUUCGAAUCAAUUCGGGGGAUCCUCGAGGAGCCUGCAGAAGUGUUGGAUGCCAUUGGAGGGGAUUUUGAUCGAGAACUUGUAUUGAGAACAUGUUCCGAUCUAAGGACAC